UACGUAGGCAGCGAGCGUUGUUCGGAGUUACUGGGCGUAAAGGCGCGUAGGCGGCCUGAUAAGUAGGGGUGAAAUCCUGUAGCUUAACUGCAGGGCUGCCUCCUAAACUGUUGGGCUAGAGCACGGUAGAGGCAGAUGGAAUUCCCGGUGUAGCGGUGGAAUGCGUAGAGAUCGGGAAGAACAUCAGUGGCGAAGGCGGUCUGCUGGGCCGUUGCUGGACGCUGAGGCGCGACAGCGUGGGGAGCAAACAGG
rnacentral:rRNA from 1 species